GACGAACGCUGGCGGCGUGCCUAAUACAUGCAAGUUGAGCGCUGAAGGUUGGUACUUGUACCAACUGGAUGAGCAGCGAACGGGUGAGUAACGCGUGGGGAAUCUGCCUUUGAGCGGGGGACAACAUUUGGAAACGAAUGCUAAUACCGCAUAAAAACUUUAAACACAAGUUUUAAGUUUGAAAGAUGCAAUUGCAUCACUCAAAGAUGAUCCCGCGUUGUAUUAGCUAGUUGGUGAGGUAAAGGCUCACCAAGGCGAUGAUACAUAACCGACCUGAGAGGGGUAUCGGCCACAUUGGGAAUGAGACACGGCCCAAACUCCUACGGGAGGCAGCAGUAGGGAAUCUUCGGCAAUAGACGAAAGUCUGACCGAGCAACGCCGCGGGAGUGAAGAAGGGUGUCGGAUCGUAAAACUCUGUUGGUAGAGAAGAACGUUGGUGAGAGUGGAAAGCUCAUCAAGUGACGGUAACUACCCAGAAAGGGACGGCUAACUACGUG
rnacentral:rRNA from 1 species